rnacentral:snoRNA from 2 species
UCAUAUAGAUGAGUACUGAUAUGACAAACAUGGGGUCAUAAUUUUGAGCACAACACCUGCGCUGGUUAAUUUCUUCUCGGAGAACUUAAUGA